GCGGCCAUAUGGAGCUAGCAGAGAAAAUCCAUUUGCAUCGGCUUAUCUGCAAUCCACUUAGCAAUGGUAACGAUCCAAUCUGAUACACUGAAGAUGAAGGUUAACACAACGUACCUCCACGGAUCUCCUCACCGUCACACUCCCUAGAGCACUGCGAAAAGAAAAGCUGAAUUGAUGGCAAGUUAAGAAAAAGUAAUGUGCCGAAUUGAUAGCAAGUUAAGAAGUAGUGAUGUGCCGAAUGGAUAGCAAGAUAAGAAGUAGUGAUGUGCUGAAUGGAUAGCAAGAUAAGAAGUAGUGAUGUGCCGAAUGGAUAGUAAGAUAAGAAGUAGUGAUGUGCCAAAUUGAUAGCAAGUUAAGAAAAAGUAUUGUGCCGAAGUGAUAG